rnacentral:rRNA from 1 species
AGAACGAACGCUGGCGGCAUGCCUAACACAUGCAAGUCGAACGCUCUUGGGGCUUCGGUUUCGAGGGAGUGGCGCACGGGUGAGUAGCGCGUGGGAACCUGUCCUGUUGUGGGGGAUAACCGAGGGAAACUUCGGCUAAUACCGCAUGCGCCCCGGUGAAAGCCGGGGGAAAGAUUUAUCGCAGCAGGAGGGGCCCGCGUCGGAUUAGCUAGUUGGCGGGGUAACGGCCCACAAGGCGAUGAUCCGUAGCUGGUCUGAGAGGAUGAUCAGCCACACUGGGACUGAGACACGGCCCAGACUCCUACGGGAGGCAGCAGUGGGGAAUAUUGGACAAUGGGCGCAAGCCUGAUCCAGCAAUGCCGCGUGAGUGAUGAAGGCCUUCGGGUUGUAAAGCUCUUUGGCGGGACGAUGAUGACGGUACCGCAGAAGAAGCCCGGCUAACUUCGUGCCAGCAGCCGC